ensembl:lncRNA
GCCAUAUUUCACACAGGAGCUUGUGAAGGAGAUGAAAAAAGCCCCCUAUACCCUUGUUACAGAUGGGUUAAAUGACACUGGAGUGGCAAAGAUGAACCCGCUUACUGUCCGGAUCUUCAUGGGCAGAAAAGUUGUCCACCAGUUCUUGAAUAUGUGCACAACAACUGGGACGAGAUGUGGGACAGCAAGUGAGAUCUUCACCAAAAUGAGCACCGCCUUAGAGGAGCAUGACAUCCCUUGGGAGAACUGCAUUGGUCUCUCAGUCGAUAAUGCAGCUGUGAACGUUGGAUCACGUAAUUCCAUUGCCUCUAGGGUCCUCCAAAAGCAUCCCAACACCUAUAUUCAUGGUUGUCCUUGUCAUGUGGCACAUAACACCGCCAAAGCUGCAGGAGUGGGAUUUUUUAAAGUGUCACAUUUUGAUUUGGAGGACAUGAUAGUGGACAUCGGUUACUGGUUCAAGGGUAGCACAAAUCGGAAAGGAUACCUGAGAGAGUUUUGUGAGCUCCAUGAAGCGGAGUACAUGGAGGUCCUCCUCCAUGUCUCGGUUCGUUGGCUAAGCCUUGAACGCUGUGUGACCAGGAUCCUGAGGCUUUAUGAACCUCUGGCCAGCUACUUCAAAUCUGCUGAUGAAAACCAGGCCAGGUUCAAGAGGCUUGUGCAGACGUUCACUGACCCCAUGACAGAAGUGUACCUGCUGUUCUUUCAAUCCACCGUUCCAACUUUCACUACUUUCAACUUGCUUCUUCAAAGAGAGCGGUCAUCAAUAUUUAUGUUGUAUGAUGAGAUGGAGAAAUUUGUACGCAAGCUUUGUUCAAAGUUCAUUGUUCCAGCAGCUCUGCAGGGCCUUGAGGAGCCUGGUGACAUUGCCUUUGGAGAGACGGCAAACCAUUUGCCAGGAAGAAAGUUGAACAUUGGGUUCACAACCAGGGCUAAACUCAACAGGCUACUUGACGAGGGUGACAUCACACCACAGCAGGUGGAUUCAUUCCAUGAAGCUGUGGUAUGUUUCCUGACAAGUGCUGUGGCCUAUGCACUAAAGAAGCUGCCACUGAAAGAGCCACUGCUCAAACAUUCAAAAUUUGUAGACGUACGGCAGAGGGCUGAAAGUGACAUCGGAGCUGUCCUGUACUUUGUUGAAAGGUUUCCCCAUCUCCUCCCAUACCAUGGUCCAGAGGAGCAUGACCUUCUGGGUGAGGAGUUUCUAAGUUAUCAGACCAUGCCAAUGAUAUCCCUGCAGGAUGAAACUGAAAUGGAAAGCUUCUGGGCUGAAAUGGCAACCCGGAAACAUAAGGUGACAGGAGCCAACGAAUUUCAGAGGCUUGCUGCCGUUGCCAAGCUGGUCCUGGUGUUGCCCCAUUCCAACGCAGACGCUGAGUGGGUGUUUUCAGUUGUGGGACUGAACAAAACAAAGACCAGAAACAGCCUAGCACUGGAUGGCACCCUGUCCUCAAUAAUGACCAUAAAGAUGGCCGACCUGGAGCCCUGUUUCAAAUGGGAGCCCCCCUCAGAUGUCCUCAAGGCCUCCAAGAAGGCCACAGGCCAGUAUAACCGUGCCCACAGAUCAUAGACGAGGACUAACUUCUGAUCUGCAUCUGAUACGGAUGACUUCAUUUUUUGUUAUUUUUGUAAUGCAUUCAUCUUUUAUUGCUUGAAAAAGUUGUACUGUUUAAGCACUGUUUC